rnacentral:ncRNA from 1 species
AGCCGUUCUCAGUUGGUGGAGUGAUUUGUCUGGUUAAUUCCUUUAACGAACGAGACCUCAGCCUGCUAACUAGCUACACGGAGGUUUACUUUCGUGGCCAGCUUCUUAGAGGGACUAUUCGCUCCCAGCGGAUGGAAGUUUGAGGCAAUAACAGGUCUGUG